rnacentral:sRNA from 1 species
GGCCACUUUCUCAGAAACAGAAAAGACAGCAGCAAUCUGGAGAAGCUCUUCUGGGAAACCUGGAGCUUUUAUCUUCAGUGUUAUAAAGAGAACAUCUUUCCUUAUAAUUAGGCUUGGGUGUGGAUUUCGGCUUUGUCAUUUAUGGGAUAGUGACCCCAGACUUGUCGUAGCUGAUUCAACUUCACAUAUAUGGUUUCAUCAGUUUCACCCUUUUCUGUGUGCAGCUGAUUUUAGAAAGAUUGCUUCCUUGUAUGGUAGCGAUAAGUUUGAUUUGCCCUAUGGGAUGAGAACAUCAGUGAUUGGCCCUAUAUGGCAUUAAGUUCUAGAUUUUUGAGGGAUCAUAAAAGCCCAAGGUAACAAGCCUACAGCAUUCGGAAUAUUUUCGACUUGCUCUUUCAAAACUGCAGAGUUGUGAUCUCUUUGAUGAGUUUGACAAAACGCGUAUCACAAUGUGACUGCAGAGCAGCUCUUUUUGAAGGACAUUAUAGAAAAAAACCUUGUAAUCAACUUGACUCAAGAUUGACUCU